rnacentral:rRNA from 1 species
UCAAUCUCGUGCGACUAUAAGUCGCUUGUCCCCCUAAGAAGUCGGCACCGACAGAAUUUAAUCGGUUGACUAUUUAGUAGGUUAGAGUCUCGUUCGUUAU